rnacentral:lncRNA from 1 species
GGAACUCCCAUCGGGCCCGUAACAACCGCCGCGACGUCCCGAUAAGCACUCAUUACCCUGAAUGCCGAUCGAAACCCCGCAAGGCUUAGCAUCAACUUCCGCAUCUCCCCGGUGAGCGACAGUUAUUAAAUCUCGCAUUUCAAGAAAUCAUAAGUUGUUUCCAACUCAAAACAAUAAAAAUAUUAUUUUCUAGCUCACUGGGGUAUUUUCGUCAUUUUUUUUUUGAAAUUU